rnacentral:rRNA from 1 species
UACGUAGGGGGCAAGCGUUGUCCGGAUUUAUUGGGCGUAAAGAGCGUGUAGGCGGUUUGGUAGGUCCGUUGUGAAAACUCGAGGCUCAACCUCGAGACGCCGAUGGAAACCAUCAGACUAGAGUCCGGAAGAGGAGAGUGGAAUUCCUGGUGUAGCGGUGAAAUGCGCAGAUAUCAGGAAGAACACCCGUGGCUAGGGCGGCUCUCUGGGACGGUACUGACGCUGAGACGCGAAAGCGUGGGGAGCGAACAGG